rnacentral:rRNA from 1 species
UACGUAGGGCGCAAGCGUUGUCCGGAAUUAUUGGGCGUAAAGAGCUCGUAGGCGGCUUGUCGCGUCGUCCGUGAAAACUUGGGGCUCAACCCCAAGCUUGCGGUCGAUACGGGCAGGCUAGAGUUCGGUAGGGGAGACUGGAAUUCCUGGUGUAGCGGUGAAAUGCGCAGAUAUCAGGAGGAACACCGGUGGCGAAGGCGGGUCUCUGGGCCGAUACUGACGCUGAGGAGCGAAAGCGUGGGGAGCGAACAGG